rnacentral:rRNA from 1 species
GACGAACGUUGGCGGUGUGCUUAACACAUGCAAGUCGAACGGAAAGGCCCUGCUUUUGUGGGGUGCUCGAGUGGCGAACGGGUGAGUAACACGUGAGUAACCUGCCCUUGACUUUGGGAUAACUUCAGGAAACUGGGGCUAAUACCGGAUAGGAGCUCCUGCUGCAUGGUGGGGGUUGGAAAGUUUCGGCGGUUGGGGAUGGACUCGCGGCUUAUCAGCUUGUUGGUGGGGUAGUGGCUUACCAAGGCUUUGACGGGUAGCCGGCCUGAGAGGGUGACCGGCCACAUUGGGACUGAGAUACGGCCCAGACUCCUACGGGAGGCAGCAGUGGGGAAUAUUGCACAAUGGGCGGAAGCCUGAUGCAGCGACGCCGCGUGCGGGAUGACGGCCUUCGGGUUGUAAACCGCUUUCGCCUGUGACGAAGCGUGAGUGACGGUAAUGGGUAAAGAAGCACCGGCUAACUACGUG